rnacentral:rRNA from 1 species
GUUGCAUGACUUGAUUAUGAAAGAUUUAUCGCUUAUGGAUGGACUCGCGUCAGAUUAGAUAGUUGGUGAGGUAACGGCUCACCAAGUCAACGAUCUGUAGCCGAACUGAGAGGUUGAUCGGCCGCAUUGGGACUGAGACACGGCCCAGACUCCUACGGGAGGCAGCAGUGGGGAAUAUUGCGCAAUGGGGGCAACCCUGACGCAGCAACGCCGCGUGCAGGAAGAAGGUCUUCGGAUUGUAAACUGUUGUCGCAAGGGAAGAAGACAGUGACGGUACCUUGUGAGAAAGUCACGGCUAACUACGUGCCAGCAGCCGCGGUAAUACGUAGGUGACAAGCGUUGUCCGGAUUUACUGGGUGUAAAGGGCGCGUAGGCGGACUGUCAAGCCAGUCGUGAAAUACCGGGGCUUAACCCCGGGGCUGCGAUUGAAACUGACAGCCUUGAGUAUCGGAGAGGAAAGCGGAAUUCCUAGUGUAGCGGUGAAAUGCGUAGAUAUUAGGAGGAACACCAGUGGCGAAGGCGGCUUUCUGGACGACAACUGACGCUGAGGCGCGAAAGUGUGGGGAGCAAACAGGAUUAGAUACCCUGGUAGUCCACACCGUA